UACGGAGGGUGCGAGCGUUGUCCGGAAUCACUGGGCGUAAAGCGCACGUAGGCGGAUUGCUAAGUCAGGGGUGAAAUCCUGGAGCUCAACUCCAGAACUGCCUUUGAUACUGGCGAUCUUGAGUCCGGGAGAGGUGAGUGGAACUGCGAGUGUAGAGGUGAAAUUCGUAGAUAUUCGCAAGAACACCAGUGGCGAAGGCGGCUCACUGGCCCGGUACUGACGCCGAGGUGCGAAAGCGUGGGGAGCAAACAGG
rnacentral:rRNA from 1 species